rnacentral:rRNA from 1 species
AACGAACGCUGCGGCAGGCUUAACACAUGCAAGUCGAACGGGUGUAGCAAUACAUCAGUGGCAGACGGGUGAGUAACACGUGGGAACCUUCCUAGGGGUACGGAACAACUCAGGGAAACUUGAGCUAAUACCGUAUACGUCCGUGAGGAGAAAGAUUUAUCGCCCUUAGACGGGCCCGCGUCGGAUUAGCUAGUUGGUGGGGUAACGGCCUACCAAGGCGACGAUCCGUAGCUGAUCUUAGAGGAUGAUCAGCCACACUGGGACUGAGACACGGCCCAGACUCCUACGGGAGGCAGCAGUGGGGAAUCUUGGACAAUGGGCGCAAGCCUGAUCCAGCCAUGCCGCGUGAGUGAAGAAGGUCUUCGGAUUGUAAAGCUCUUUUGCCAGGGACGAUAAUGAC